rnacentral:rRNA from 1 species
UACGAAGGGGGCUAGCGUUGCUCGGAAUUACUGGGCGUAAAGCGCACGUAGGCGGCUUUCUAAGUCGGGGGUGAAAUCCUGGAGCUCAACUCCAGAACUGCCUUCGAUACUGGAAAGCUCGAGUCCGGGAGAGGUGAGUGGAACUGCGAGUGUAGAGGUGAAAUGCGUAGAUAUCGGAAGGAACAUCAGUGGCGAAAGCGACUUCCUGGACCAAUACUGACGCUCAUGUGCGAAAGCGUGGGGAGCAAACAGG